CACAGUGCAUUGCAGACAAACCAUUUGAAUAGAACACUGAAUACACACAAUACUACAAUGUAUGUAAAUUCAAUGCCAGCCAGGUCUAAUUUUUUUUUUGUUAGUUUAGUUAACCAAUGAUACAAUUUAAAAGUUUUCAUUUCUUGGUGUCUCAAUACUGAAGACUUUUAGGGGUUUGUUACAAGCUCCUUGUUAAUGAAAUAUUAAGUUUUCCAUAGCGGAAAAAUAAUAAGAUGCCACGUAUCUUCAGAGCAAUUAAACAUAUUAAGUAUUUCAUAGCCACUACAGUUCAGUAACAUUUUUAGAAAAAAAAACUACAUCUUCAAGGCUCUAAAUAAUAUGCUAGAGGGUUAAAUAAAGUGUUGUUCAUUUGCAGUAAUUUGGUAAACUUAGCUUUAUGACCUUUGUUUGAAUUGCAGAUCACUUCAAAUGAGAAACACUUGCAGUGCCUUAUGGGUGGGGAUGAUCUUGUCCAAACUCUCCAGAGGAUGGCUCAUGCUGCCAGAUCACAUGCUGAUGUUGCAGUUGCCUCGCUGGCCUCUGAAAUUCUGAAAAUUGUUGGAUAUUAAAUAAACUGCAGUGAUCAAGACAACAAACAGUGGUGCAUCUUAAAUGUUUAAUUCCUAUAAUAGGGAAUGGGCUUUUCUAUCAAUUGUUAUCAAGUUACAAUUUGUUUGAAAAGUGAGAUUUGUAAGUACUGUGACAUUGUAUAAAACAGUAGUUUUAUUUUA